rnacentral:sRNA from 1 species
AUGCAGCCAGACUUGAGCGGAAAUCCUUUUUUGCCAACCUUCAGAUUCUAUUGAAACUAAAUUGUGUACAAAAAAGAUUGGGAGCGGAAGGCGGAAUAAGC